UACAGAGGUCUCAAGCGUUUGUUCGGAAUCACUGGGCGUAAAGGGUGCGUAGGCUGCACGGUAAGUCAGGUGUGAAAGCCCGGAGCUCAACUCCGGAAUUGCACCCGAUACUGCCGUGCUUGAGGACUGGAGAGGAGUCUGGAAUUCACAGUGGAGCAGUGAAAUGCGUAGAUAUUGUGAGGAACACUAGUGGCGAAGGCGAGACUCUGGACAGUUCCUGACGCUGAGGCACGAAGGCCAGGGGGAGCAAACGGGG
rnacentral:rRNA from 1 species